GACGAACCGUGCAAACGUUGUUCGGAAUCACUGGGCUUAAAGGGCGCGUAGGCGGGCCAGCCAGUCUGUGGUGAAAGCCCCCGGCUUAACCGGGGAAGUGCCGUGGAUACUGCUGGCCUCGAGGAGGGUAGGGGCACCUGGAACGGUCGGUGGAGCGGUGAAAUGCGUUGAUAUCGACCGGAACUCCGGUGGCGAAGGCGGGUCUCUGGACAGUUCCUGACGCUGAGGCACGAAGGCCAGGGGAGCAAACGGG
rnacentral:rRNA from 1 species